CACACACACACACACCUAAUCAUCAUUUUGUACACACACCAACAUUGCUGUAUGCCACAUGCACACUCUAAACACAUAUUCAACAACAGAUGCAUGUACCAUGCUCUUCAAACUCUGAACAAACUCUAACAGAAAUGCACACCAAUACACACACAUGCACACAACCCUCCUCCUGCUGUAGAUGAGUCAUGGUGAGUGGGGGCUUAAAAACUCUCUCGCCAUCCCCCCCCCCCCCCCCUCUGAUUUUCAUAUCUUUCCUGAUGCAGUGCUAUCUUGUUUUCACUCACUCAUUCUCUCUUUCGCUCUCUUUCUCUCUCUACCACUCUCUCCUCUCCCUUGCCUAGAUACAGUGGUUGUUUACAAGGCAAGUGAGCAGGGAUGAGAGAGCUGUUUUCUUUUUGCAUCUGUUCAUGUUUUCGACCACAUCUUUCCAGCUAAGACGCUUCAAUAAUGUAUUUCCUCUUCCAUCCAUACUUCCAUUUCAUCAUCUUCUAUCCUUAUUUUUACUGCCUUAUAACUCCCCAACCUCUCUUAUCCAUCCCAUCUUUUCCUCUCAUCAUGUCUCAGUAGAAUUUUUCAACCAUUAUCGGUCUAAGGAGGACAGUCAGUAGGUGUGUGUGUGUGUGUGUGUGUGUGUGUGUGUGUGUGUGUGUGUGUGUGUGUGUGUGUGUGUGUGUGUGUGUGUGUGUGUGUGUGUGUGUGUGUGUGUGUGUGUGUGUGUGUGUGUGUGUGUGUGUGUGUGUGUGUGUGUGUGUACAGUAUGUCAUAUGUAACCCAAGCCACAGACCUGUUAAGCCUCAUGUGUACAUACACACACGUGUGUACGGGCGGGGGUGUAGCUUGGUGUCUGAGUGUAUUUGUGUCUGCUGCGUUAAGCGCUGAACUGUGAUUGGCUGGAAAAGGGGGUAAGGACCCCCACGUGACGUGUUGUAUCGCAUUAGCAGCUACGUAGUGAGGAGGAGGAGGAGGAGAAGGGGGGGGGGGGGAUGAAUGAAUGGAGCGUUGACGUCACACCAACUGUAAUUGUGUGUUUUUGUGAGUGCAGCUUCCUGCAGGUUGACUAGCUGUCAUGUCACCAGCUCUCUGCUGCUCUCUGCUCUGCUUACUAACUUCCUGACCAGCUCGUGUGCUGUGAGCUUGUGUGUCAAGCAUAACCUGAUAUUUCUUAAAUCUGAUCCAAGACAUUUUGAUUUUCUUAUAGGGAGAAAAAGCAAGAAAAACAUUUAAUUUACCGUAUCAAAAAAAAAAUGUGUUAGACCUGAAUAUCUAUAAUCAAGCACAUUACAGUAACCUCUACUGCAUCUGGUCAUGAAGUAUCCCGAAUGAAUAUGUAAUGGUUUUAGGGCUUUUGUCCCUGAGGUCCACAUGUAGGUCUGCACCUUAUGAUUACUUAUUGAUUGAUCAUUAAACCAUUUUCUUAAUAUCAUUUGUAAUAUUUAAAUCAUCAAAGAUGUGAAAAAAAAUCAAAAUUUAGCGUAACAUGUCCAUGUCGACCCAAACAACAUGUAAAUAAAGCUGAAUGUUUGAAACAUGUUUAGCAAUUAAGAAAAUGAAUGAAGGGUUUAUAGGAAAAAAGGAUGCUUUAUAUGAAAAAUAUCCAAAAUAUCAAGCCUUUGAUGGUUCAGUUUGUCCACAGUGUAAUUGUAACCCACUACGGCUAGGCUUACAAUGUAAUAAACACAGUUCAUAUUUACUGUUGGGUUUUGGAACAUCUGUUUGAAGAUGUCCAUUUUUGUUCUCGCAAACUCUUAGCAAAAAACAUAUUUAUGCUUUAUUAGAUCAAAUUUAAAUCUGUCACUGAAUUAAGAACAUGUAAACACAC